rnacentral:rRNA from 1 species
GAUGAACGCUGGCGGCGUGCCUAAUACAUGCAAGUCGAGCGAACAGACGAGGAGCUUGCUCCUCUGACGUUAGCGGCGGACGGGUGAGUAACACGUGGAUAACCUACCUAUAAGACUGGGAUAACUUCGGGAAACCGGAGCUAAUACCGGAUAAUAUAUUGAACCGCAUGGUUCAAUAGUGAAAGACGGUUUUGCUGUCACUUAUAGAUGGAUCCGCGCCGCAUUAGCUAGUUGGUAAGGUAACGGCUUACCAAGGCAACGAUGCGUAGCCGACCUGAGAGGGUGAUCGGCCACACUGGAACUGAGACACGGUCCAGACACCUACGGGAGGCAGCAGUAGGGAAUCUUCCGCAAUGGGCGAAAGCCUGACGGAGCAACGCCGCGUGGGUGAUGAAGGUCUUCGGAUCGUAAAACUCUGUUAUUAGGGAAGAACAAAUGUGUAAGUAACUAUGCACGUCUUGACGGUACCUAAUCAGAAAGCCACGGCUAACUACGUG